rnacentral:rRNA from 1 species
UACGGAAGGCAGCAGUGGGGAAUAUUGCACAAUGGGCGCAAGCCUGAUGCAGCCAUGCCGCGUGUAUGAAGAAGGCCUUCGGGUUGUAAAGUACUUUCAGUCGUGAGGAAGGUGUUAAGGUUAAUAACCUUAGCAAUUGACGUUAGCGACAGAAGAAGCACCGGCUAACUCCGUGCCAGCAGCCGCGGUAAUACGGAGGGUGCGAGCGUUAAUCGGAAUUACUGGGCGUAAAAGGGCACGCAGGCGGUUAAUUAAGUUGGAUGUGAAAUCCCCGGGCUUAACCUGGGAAUGGCAUUCAAGACUGGUUAGCUAGAGUCUUGUAGAGGGGGUUAGAAUUCCAUGUGUAGCGGUGAAAUGCGUAGAGAUGUGGAGGAAUACCGGUGGCGAAGGCGGCCCCUGGGACAAAGACUGACGCUCAUGUGCGAAAGCGUGGGGAGCAAACAGGAUUAGAUACC